rnacentral:rRNA from 1 species
AGUCGAACGCGAAAGUUCCUUUCGGGGAGCGAGUAGAGUGGCGCACGGGUGAGUAACACGUAGGUAAUCUACCUUUGGAUUGGGAAUAACCACCGGAAACGGUGGCUAAUACCGAAUAAUGCAGCGGCACCUAAUGGUGACAGUUGUUAAAGCGGGGGAUCGCAAGACCUCGCGUCUAAAGAGGAGCCUGCGGCGGAUUAGCUAGUUGGUAAGGUAACGGCUUACCAAGGCGAUGAUCCGUAGCCGGCCUGAGAGGGCGGUCGGCCACACUGACACUGACAUACGGGUCAGACUCCUACGGGAGGCAGCAGUCGGGAAUUUUGGGCAAUGGGCGAAAGCCUGACCCAGCAACGCCGCGUGAAGGAUGAAAUCCCUCGGGAUGUAAACUUCGCAAGAACGGGAAGAAUAAGUCGGUGCCAACACCAUCGACGAUGACGGUACUGUUUGUAAGCUCCGGCUAACUCCGUGCCAGCAGCCGCGGUAAUACGGGGGGAGCAAGCGUUGUUCGGAUUUACUGGGCGUAAAGGGCGUGUAGGCGGCCACCGCAAGUCGACUGUGAAAUCUCCGGGCUUAACUCGGAAAGGUCAGCCGAUACUGCGGGGCUAGAGUGCAGAAGGGGCAACUGGAAUUCUCGGUGUAGCGGUGAAAUGCGUAGAUAUCGAGAGGAACACCUGCGGCGAAGGCGGGUUGCUGGGCUGACACUGACGCUGAAACGCGAAAGCUAGGGGAGCGAACGGGAUUAGAUACCCCGGUAG